rnacentral:rRNA from 1 species
CUUGCUCUUCUAGGAUGAGUUGCGAACGGGUGAGUAACGCGUACGUAACCUGCCUUGUAGCGGGGGAUAACUAUUGGAAACGAUAGCUAAUACCGCAUAACAAUGGAUGACACAUGUCAUUUAUUUGAAAGGGGCAAUUGCUCCACUACAAGAUGGACCUGCGUUGUAUUAGCUAGUAGGUGAGGUAACGGCUCACCUAGGCGACGAUACAUAACCGACCUGAGAGGGUGAUCGGCCACACUGGGACUGAGACACGGCCCAGACUCCUACGGGAGGCAGCAGUAGGGAAUCUUCGGCAAUGGGGGCAACCCUGACCGAGCAACGCCGCGUGAGUGAAGAAGGUUUUCGGAUCGUAAAGCUCUGUUGUAAGUCAAGAACGAGUGUGAGAGUGGAAAGUUCACACUGUGACGGUAGCUUACCAGAAAGGGACGGCUAACUACGUGCCAGCAGCCGCGGUAAUACGUAGGUCCCGAGCGUUGUCCGGAUUUAUUGGGCGUAAAGCGAGCGCAGGCGGUUUGAUAAGUCUGAAGUUAAAGGCUGUGGCUCAACCAUAGUUCGCUUUGGAAACUGUCAAACUUGAGUGCAGAAGGGGAGAGUGGAAUUCCAUGUGUAGCGGUGAAAUGCGUAGAUAUAUGGAGGAACACCGGUGGCGAAAGCGGCUCUCUGGUCUGUAACUGACGCUGAGGCUCGAAAGCGUGGGGAGCGAACAGGAUUAGAUACCCUGGUAGUCCACGCCGUAAACGAUGAGUGCU